GAUGAACGCUGGCGGCGUACCUAAUACAUGCAAGUCGAGCGAACAGACGAGGAGCUUGCUCCUCUGACGUUAGCGGCGGACGGGUGAGUAACACGUGGAUAACCUACCUAUAAGACUGGGAUAACUUCGGGAAACCGGAGCUAAUACCGGAUAAUAUAUUGAACCGCAUGGUUCAAUAGUGAAAGACGGUUUUGCUGUCACUUAUAGAUGGAUCCGCGCCGCAUUAGCUAGUUGGUAAGGUAACGGCUUACCAAGGCAACGAUGCGUAGCCGACCUGAGAGGGUGAUCGGCCACACUGGAACUGAGACACGGUCCAGACUCCUACGGGAGGCAGCAGUAGGGAAUCUUCCGCAAUGGGCGAAAGCUUGACGGAGCAACGCCGCGUGAGUGAUGAAGGUCUUCGGAUCGUAAAACUCUGUUAUUAGGGAAGAACAAAUGUGUAAGUAACUAUGCACGUCUUGACGGUACCUAAUCAGAAAGCCACGGCUAACUACGUG
rnacentral:rRNA from 1 species